GCCGGGUGUCGUGGCGGGCGCCUGUAAUCCCAGCUACUCAGGAGGCUGAGGCGGGAGAAUUGCUUGAACCCAGGAGACAGAGGUUGCAGUGAGCCGAGAUCGCGCCAUUGCACUCCAGCCUGGGCGACAGAGCAAGACUCUGUCUCAA
rnacentral:SRP_RNA from 2 species